CUGCAACACAGCAGGAACUCCCAAAAGCUUGAAUAUUGUGACAUGACCUUGGUGGACAGCUGUAAGAAUAAAGGAGUUCUGUACCAAGAAGUCUGCAACAACCAACCGCGCCCCUCCCUCACUUUGCCUUUAAAAAUGCUUUGCAAUUUUGGUUUCGGGGAGUUUGGGGUAUUUUUGGGAGCACAAGCCACCCGUCUCCUUGCCUGGCCCUGCAAUAAACCUUUUGCUGCUCCGAA